rnacentral:rRNA from 1 species
GGAUCCAGACUUUGAUCCUGGCUCAGGAUGAACGCUAGCUACAGGCUUAACACAUGCAAGUCGAGGGGCAGCAUGACCUAGCAAUAGGUUGAUGGCGACCGGCGCACGGGUGAGUAACACGUAUCCAACCUGCCGAUUAUUCCGGGAUAGCCUUUCGAAAGAAAGAUUAAUACUGGAUAGCAUAACGAGAAGGCAUCUUCUUGUUAUUAAAGAAUUUCGAUAAUCGAUGGGGAUGCGUUCCAUUAGUUUGUUGGCGGGGUAACGGCCCACCAAGACAUCGAUGGAUAGGGGUUCUGAGAGGAAGGUCCCCCACAUUGGAACUGAGACACGGUCCAAACUCCUACGGGAGGCAGCAGUGAGGAAUAUUGGUCAAUGGACGAGAGUCUGAACCAGCCAAGUAGCGUGAAGGAUGACUGCCCUAUGGGUUGUAAACUUCUUUUAUAUGGGAAUAAAGUGGGCCACGUGUGGCUUUUUGUAUGUACCAUACGAAUAAGGAUCGGCUAACUCCGUGCCAGCAGCCGCGGUAAUACGGAGGAUCCAAGCGUUAUCCGGAUUUAUUGGGUUUAAAGGGAGCGUAGGCGGAUUAUUAAGUCAGUUGUGAAAGUUUGCGGCUCAACCGUAAAAUUGCAGUUGAUACUGGUAGUCUUGAGUGCAGCAGAGGUAGGCGGAAUUCGUGGUGUAGCGGUGAAAUGCUUAGAUAUCACGAAGAACUCCGAUUGCGAAGGCAGCUUACUGGACUGUAACUGACGCUGAUGCUCGAAAGUGUGGGUAUCAAACAGGAUUAGAUACCCUGGUAGUCCACACAGUAAACGAUGAAUACUCGCUGUUUGCGAUAUACGGCAAGCGGCCAAGCGAAAGCAUUAAGUAUUCCACCUGGGGAGUACGCCGGCAACGGUGCAACUCAAAUGAAUUGACGG